rnacentral:rRNA from 1 species
AUUGAACGCUGGCGGCAUGCCUUACACAUGCAAGUCGAACGGCAGCACGGGAGCAAUCCUGGUGGCGAGUGGCGAACGGGUGAGUAAUAUAUCGGAACGUGCCCAGUCGUGGGGAUAACGUAGCGAAAGCUACGCUAAUACCGCAUACGAUCUAUGGAUGAAAGCGGGGGAUCGCAAGACCUCGCGCGAUUGGAGCGGCCGAUAUCAGAUUAGGUAGUUGGUGGGGUAAAGGCUCACCAAGCCAACGAUCUGUAGCUGGUCUGAGAGGACGACCAGCCACACUGGAACUGAGACACGGUCCAGACUCCUACGGGAGCAGCAGUGGGAAUUUGGACAAUGGACGCAAGUCUGAUCCAGCCAUUCCGCGUGCAGGAU